UUUUAAACCCGACAGCAGCGAUACCCUUUUUUGCCUAAGUGUAGUCCCUAUUUAAAGCUGAUUUACAAAAAAGGUAAAGCGUAUGGCGGGACUGCCG
rnacentral:sRNA from 1 species